AAGAGGAGGUGCCAUGUGCCCUGUGGGCACAUAUCGGAAUGCACCGACGAACUGCCGCCGACCGAAAGGGAGGGGGCGAUACAAGGA
rfam:Coprococcus eutactus CAG:665 genomic scaffold, scf239